AACCUUCUUUAUCCAAGAGAGA
rnacentral:piRNA from 1 species